UGCAACGUAGCUUAAUGGUAAAGCACUGAGCAUGCAUAAAAACUAGGAGACAGGGUAUGAGGGUUCGAAUCCAUCCGUUGCAA
rnacentral:tRNA from 1 species